rnacentral:rRNA from 1 species
GAUGAACGCUAGCUACAGGCUUAACACAUGCAAGUCGAGGGACCGGCGCACGGGUGAGUAACACGUAUCCAACCUGCCCUUUACUCGGGGAUAGCCUUUCGAAAGAAAGAUUAAUACCCGAUGUAAAGGAUGGGGAUGCGUUCCAUUAGGUUGUUGGUGUGGUAACGGCUCACCAAGCCUUCGAUGGAUAGGGGUUCUGUGAGGAAGGGCCCCCACAUUGGAACUGGGACACGGUCCAAACUCCUUCGGGAGGCAGCAGUGAGGAAUAUUGGUAAAUGGGCGUUAGCCUGAACCAGCCAAGUAGCGUGAAGGAUGAAGGCUUAUGGGUCGUAAACUGCUUUUAUAUAAGAAUAUGUAUUAUAUGAAUAAGGAUCGGCUAACUCCGUGCCAGCAGCCGCGGUAAUUC